rnacentral:rRNA from 1 species
ACUAACUAGGAUUCCCUGAGUAACGGCGAGUGAAACGGGAAAAGCCCAGCGUGUAAUCUCUCAGGUUCUACCUGUAGCGAAGUGUCACGUAUAGGCGCGUCUGUCUGGUUUUCGUUGAGGUCCGAAGUUCGUUCGAACGCGACUUCCCGUAGUGGGUGCUAGGCCCGUACGGAUCUCGACUUGGCCAGUUGGGCGUGUCUUGGAGUAGAGUUGCUUGGAAGUGCAGCUCAAAGUGGGUGGUAUACCACAUCUAAGGCUAAAUAUGACCAGGAUUUCGAUAGCGAACAAGUACCGUGAGGGAAAGUUGCAAAGAACUUUGAAGAGAGAGUUCAAGAGAAUGUGAAACCACGUGGGACUAAGCGGAUAGAGUUGACGAAACUGGCAGUGUUCAGUGUUCGUGAUCGGGCUUCGGCUCGUGAUCGUGCACGCAUUCAUUGUCGGUACGUGCUGGAACGUCUGGCGAGCCCUUCUGAUGUACGUAGAGUCGCCCAAGCUUCGGCCUGGUAGUGUUCUGCGUUCGGAAGUUGAUGUGCUUGCUAGACGUAGCAUUCACCGUGCCUCUGCGCGUUCGGUUGUUGGUUAGCGCUCUGCUCGGUGGUCGGACAUGUCUGGCUGCCUUGUACGUGUGUUGAUCAGCGGCUGCUCGCCUAUGGUGUAAUCCCGGUAUGUGAAAGUCGACCACCUAUCCGA